rnacentral:tmRNA from 1 species
GGGGACGACCUGGCUUCGACGCGGGUUACAAAACUUCAGAUGCAUGUCGAGGGACGAGUACCUCGUAAAACCAGUCGUACAAUGAUAGUUGCAAACAACGACAACUACGCUCUGGCUGCCUAGGUAGCCAGCCCCUCGCCGGUGUGUGCCCAUACGCCCGGAUUUCAGGGGUCGAAUCAUACGGGAUCGCAGUGACGGAGUGUUCGGGCCAGACCUGUUAAAACCUAACGAACUCGACUGCUGACUACCCUGCCUGUUGGGUAACGGCGAGUCUAAAAAUAAUAGACAGGGCUAAACAUGUAGAGUCUAAAGCAGCGUGCUUGCGGACGCGGGUUCGAUUCCCGCCGUCUCCACCA